rnacentral:rRNA from 1 species
CCCUUCGGGGCGAAGAUAAGACGGAUUAGCGGCGGACGGGUGAGUAACACGUGAGUAACCUGCCUUUUACACAGGGAUAGCCUCGGGAAACCGGGAUUAAAACCUGAUGAAACUAUCAAAUCACAUGAUUAAGAAAGUUAAAACUCCGGUGGUAAAAGAUGGACUCGCGUCCCAUUAGCUAGUUGGUGAAGGUAACGGCCCACCAAGGCAACGAUGGGUAGCCGGCCUGAGAGGGUGAACGGCCACAUUGGAACUGAGAAACGGUCCAAACUCCUACGGGAGGCAGCAGCC